UAACGAAUCUUGGGCAAUGGGCGCAAGCCUGACCCAGCAAUGCCGCGUGCAGGAGGAAGUCCUUCGGGAUGUAAACUGCUGUCAGGGGUUCGCAAGCAAAGGGUGUUAACAGCGCCCGGCGUUGAGCAGCCCCAAAGGAAGCCUCGACUAACUCUGUGCCAGCAGUCGCGGUAAGACAGAGGAGGCAAGCGUUGUUCGGAAUCACUGGGCUUAAAGCGCGUGUAGGCGGCCGGGAAAGUGUCGUGUGAAAUCCCACGGCUCAACCGUGGAACUGCACGGCAUACUACCCGGCUUGAGGUCGGUAGAGGUGCCUGGAACUCUAGGUGGAGCGGUGAAAUGCGUAGAUAUCUAGAGGAACGCCGGAGGCGAAAGCGGGGCACUGGGCCGAAUCUGACGCUGAGACGCGAAAGCGUGGGGAGCAAACAGG
rnacentral:rRNA from 1 species